rnacentral:lncRNA from 1 species
UUCCCAUAGGAACUCCUUUUAAGGCUAAAACUGUACCACUUUUACUAUGAAGUUUUGAAAAAAAUCUUAUCCUAGAAUUGAAAGUUCAUAUGCAACACAAUUUUUUUUCAAAGGUCAAAAUAUAGGGCUGUGCGGCAUAUUUUCAACGUUUAUAUGCCCUGAACUUCUCAGAGUUUAAACUAACACUAAUUUUCUUUACUACCCC